GGAAGUAAAAGUCGUAACAAGAUUUCCGUAGGUGAACCUGCGGAAGGAUCACUAACGAGUAAAUUCCUUCGGGUCUUUCUUAUCCAAACACCUGUGAAAAUUAAUUUUUGCUUUGGGAAUUUAAUUAUUCCCAACAAUCAAAACCACUAAGUUGUCUUUCGUCUGAAUGAUUAUUUAAAAAUCAAAACUUUCAACAACGGAUCUCUUGGUUCUC
rnacentral:misc_RNA from 1 species